UACGUAGGGAGCAAGCGUUGUCCGGAAUUACUGGGCGUAAAGGGUGCGUAGGCGGCAUGGCAAGUCAGAUGUGAAAUCCCCGGGCUUAACUCGGGGGGUGCAUAUGAAACUGCCGUGCUUGAGUGCAGGAGAGGAAAGCGGAAUUCCUAGUGUAGCGGUGAAAUGCGUAGAUAUUAGGAAGAACACCAGUGGCGAAGGCGGCUUUCUGGACUGUAACUGACGCUGAGGCACGAAAGCGUGGGGAGCAAACAGG
rnacentral:rRNA from 1 species